rnacentral:rRNA from 1 species
GAUGAACGCUGGCGGCGUGCCUAAUACAUGCAAGUCGAGCGAACGGACGAGAAGCUUGCUUCUCCGAUGUUAGCGGCGGACGGGUGAGUAACACGUGGAUAACCUACCUAUAAGACUGGGAUAACUUCGGGAAACCGGAGCUAAUACCGGAUAAUAUUUUGAACCGCAUGGUUCAAAAGUGAAAGACGGUCUUGCUGUCACUUAUAGAUGGAUCCGCGCUGCAUUAGCUAGUUGGUAAGGUAACGGCUUACCAAGGCAACGAUGCAUAGCCGACCUGAGAGGGUGAUCGGCCACACUGGAACUGAGACACGGUCCAGACUCCUACGGGAGGCAGCAGUAGGGAAUCUUCCGCAGUGGGCGAAAGCCUGACGGAGCAACGCCGCGUGAGUGAUGAAGGUCUUCGGAUCGUAAAACUCUGUUAUUAGGGAAGAACAUAUGUGUAAGUAACUGUGCACAUCUUGACGGUACCUAAUCAGAAAGCCACGGCUAACUACGUG